UUUCGCAUAGCCUGAUGCGACCCAUUGCGUGUGUAAAACUCUAGUGUUGUUUUGGGGCCUUCCUAUAUAGAUGCACUGAUUCUGUCACAAAUAACCAAUCUUGGGGUAUUAGAGCCAAUCAUGGAGUAGAUGUGCGAGGCAGAGUGGGAGCUACCGCAGAGAGAGUGGAUUCAAUCAAAUGGGAUCCCAUCUUUAGAAAUAUGAUAAAGUCCCACUACCUCGAAGGUGUGAUAUGGGGAAAAGUCUUCAUUGCACUUUGGUCUGAAUGAUCUUGCAAACAAAGCAUGAAAUCACAUCAAUUCACCUCAAUGAUGAGCUUCACUGCCCCGAACUGGCCUCAGCUUUAAUAAUCUCUCUCUCUCCCUCUCCUUCUCCUUCUUUAUCUAUCUCAAUCUCUCCCUCUAUCCUCCUCCUCACUGAAGCAAGCGAAGAUUGCUUGUAGAGUGUGGAUACUGACUUCCCAGAUCUGAUAUUUUUUUUCUAGCACAAACAUUCAGGGGUGCCAGCAUGGAUGAGGCCCUAUUGAUUGGGACUUGGGGAUAUAAAAAAAAAGUUGGGAAUUAGAGGCAGAGAAGAACAGAUGCAAAUGGAGGGCUAUAAAUUAUAUGUGACAGGAAAGCAAUAGUGUCUUAUUGCUUCACCAAAGCCCACUGCAGCAUCUGAUGUCUUUAAUCUGGGACACACUUUUGCGAGAAGAAGCUGUCACCUUAUUCUAGGAACACAUUUAUACUUGUUGGCUACACAUUUUCAUAUUUGUAUAAACUAUAAUAUUGCGGUAAAUUUCAUUACUAAGGAAAUCCUCAUUCUGUAUGAGCUGAUGCACUUAGAAAAUCAGACUUGAUUCAGUGAACUGAUACACACACACAUAUACAUAUAUAAUUAAAAAAUAUAUAUUAUUAUUAUUAAUUUAAUUUAAUGUAGAUAAAAUAAUACUUUUAUAUUAUUUUAUAUCUUCCUGGACAAACACCAUGUCAGUAUUUUGUGAAUUUCUUUUUAACAUCCAUCCAAAACAAUGAUUUAACCCUGUGUCUAGCGUUAGCCACACAAACUCAAUAGCUUGGAUCCAUGUUCUCGCUAUCGAAUGAGCUAUUUGGAAGGUGUGAAUUAAUGACUUGCCAGGGUGCUGAGAAUUCCCUGUAGAAAUAUUAAAAUAUGAAUCGAUGCUAUUGAAAGGACGCUUAGGAUUCAGGCGAUAGAAGGGCUCAGAACUGGUUGUGUGCCAGUGACUUCAUGCUGUGAGGAGGACACAGAGAACACCCCAGACAGUGUGUAAUCUUUAAUAAUUCAUGCAGAGAAAAUGUGCUUAAAGCUGGGACAUCUUCUAAUGUCAACAGAGCAGAGGUCAACCUCUUAAGCGCUUAGUGCAUGAGGGUCCUGCCUCUGAAGUAUGCUCACUGGUGAGGGAAUACUUUUAGACAGGGUACAAGAACACCUGUUUGAAAUGGCACAAGGCUUACAGUUCGACUACAGCCUGCUAUAAUUAUAGGAAAUGUUAAAAUAUUGUAUUUGCAUUUUGUUUGUACUUGACCGCUUUAAGCAAUCUUAUAGUUAAAGGACAGUGUUUUCCGGUGCAGUACAAUCCAGUUCACUUAAAAACAGCCCACACUGAUGUUUACUGUAGCAACUCCUAAUUUAUUAAAUAAUACAGGCAAGUUUUGAAAUAAUUCGCUCAGGUAUGGUUUUUAUCCGAUGUGUGUAUAGAGAACCAUCUUUGUAUGAUUCAGAAUAGCAGUCCAAAUAAAUUUGUUACAUCCCUAUAUGUAUUAAUUUUGUAUAUAAACAGAGGUCCUUACAAUGCCCUCCUCUGAGGUGAUAACUUGAACAUCAUUGGAAACAAAGGUUUAGUGGCUCUUCUUUCAUGUCAUUAAUGCAGAUUAAAAAUUUACCGCAUACAUGUGUUGAGACCUGUUCAAAUUGCCCUUUUUAAGCAGCCAUAGUGCAUGAAAUGAAUUUUUUCAGCCUCUCUCUCCCCCGUUUUUUUUUUUUUUUUUUUCUUUUUCCGAGGAAAUGUCUUGUGCGGGUCGGCCCAUGAUCUCUCUUCAGCUCAUUAAAAUGUAAUGCUGCUGGCCAGCUCUAUGGAACAGUGCCUCCUAACCAAAGUUCAUUACUCCUGCUUGCAGAAGAAAGUCAAAUGGGUUUGGAACAACAUGAGGGUUCCUUUGAUGCAUUCGGGUGUACGGGGGUAACGGGCCGCCUAUUGGAGCAUGGCAGACCACCUGAGAGUUGUUUUCUGGACUCUGAGAGGUCACCUGACACCAGUGCUCCGGAGAAGGUGCACAGCACUGGAUUUCACAUGAACGAAAGGAUUGGAAUGACAUGAGGGAGGUCUCUCGAGGUCCCCCUCCAGGACAAUGAUGUAUUUAAGUCCCCUAAGAGGUCAGAUGGACUCUGUCCAGAACAUCACCUGCAAUCAAUAGUGUUGGUAAACCAGGCUCAACUGAGUGGCCAUGAAGACUCCCCUUAUAAACAAGCUCACAGAGAGGCCGGCAUGGCCCAUUGCUUUGCUAAAACCGCAACCAGCAUCCUGACACACACACACACAACACAUGCCACCACUCUGAAAACAAGUGUUGAUGACAAAGAGAAGAAAAAUAACAGCACCUCAGCGCAAUACCCUUUGCAUUCAGCUUCACUCUGUCAUAGCAAAGGUUGCGCAUUCUCCUUAACGCACAGGUGAAUUGGGUGCACUGCUUCAAUCAAGGCUUCACUAUUGGGUUUGAGAGUCAUCUGAGCCCAGACAACAAAAGCAAACGCUACAGUGAGUGUCUCUACUGUAAGUGGCUUUUGAAGAAUUGGCACAGUCAUCUGGCGAACACCUCACAUCUCUCACAAACAAAUGAAGGCCUGGCGCUUCAAAGUGAGAUUGAUAUCUCUCUCUGAACUUCAACCAGAAUAUUCUGAAUAUUGAGAGAGGUGCACUCCUCCCACGGGACCACCGAGGCGCUUCUCUCCUCCCUCAUUCCACCGAAGAGGGGAAAAAAGAUUGCCCCUGUAGAUCUUCCAUGUUCAUCAAUAUUCACUCAUUCAUCGUGAGCCAUGGCAGGUGAAAUUUGGCCUAGUAUUGCUGAAUGGAUGACCCAGGGAUCCACUUUACUGCUAUGAGGUUGUCUGCAAUUGAGUUUUAGGAUUAAAACAGAACAAUACACAAUUUUUAUGAACUUCAGACUCGUCUAUAUAUUUUACGUUGUGACAGAAAACUUUUCAAUUUGCUCUGCAAGUUCUUAAGAGUACCCAGCCAUUUAAUAAGACUAGAAGAGAUAUAUCUACUUUGUUCUGCUUUCUGACUGUUUGCCAAAUAUACAUUAAUUUUUUCUUUUCUUUUUUUACUUGGAAAUAUUUUUCUAAUAAAAUGGAAACUACUGCUAUAAAAGACUGUAAAUCAUUAUUUACACCAUAUUUAAGCUGUAUAGUAUAUAAAACUGUAUAGUAUAGUAUUGAAUUAUUGUUAUUAAAGGGGAUUUUUAGGAUUUCACUUUUUUUUAGCUUUAGUUAAUGUGUAAUGUUGCUUUUUGAGUAUAAACAACAUCUGCAAAGUUACGAUGCUCAAAGUUCAAUGCAAAGGG